rnacentral:rRNA from 1 species
CUUGAACGCUGGCGGCAGGCCUAACACAUGCAAGUCGAGCGGAGCGGCGGACGGGUGAGUAAUGCCUAGGAAUCUGCCUGGUAGUGGGGGAUAACGUCCGGAAACGGGCGCUAAUACCGCAUCCUAUCACAUGAGCCUAGGUCGGAUUAGCUAGUUGGUGGGGUAAAGGCCGACCAAGGCGACGAUCCGUAACUGGCCUGCGAGGAUGAUCAGUCAAACUGGAACUGAGACACGGUCCAGACGCCUACGGGAGGCAGCAGUGGGGAAUAUUGGACAAGGGGCGAAAGCCGGAUCCAGCCAUGCCGCGUGUGUGAAGAAGGUCUUCGGAUUGUAAAGCACUUUAAGUUGGGAGGCGUUACCAACAGAAUAAGCACCGGCUAACUUCGUGUCAGCCGCCGCGGUAAUUC